UGCUAAACACGAUUUGAAGAUUCAAAUUUGGUCAAAAUUAUCAAGCCACACGUGUAGCUCUCUGCUCUUUCUCCCGUGCGUCGUCGCCGUGGUCAAGUUGGCCACGAACACCGCUCGCGCGCGCUCACGACACGCGUCCCCGCCCAUGCCGUCCUUGUCUCGCUCGUAGGCCAGCACGCUCCUCUCCCGAACCCUCUCCAUGCUGCCUGAGCCGCCCACGCCUCUCCCUCUCCCUCUCACGCGAGCGCCGCUUGCCAUGGCCGCCAUUAGCGUCGCCGCUCGUCGGUCUCCCACGGAGCUCCCUUCUCCACCCUUCCUCGCGCCCAAAUGACCCCGUAGCUAGCUUCCUUGGCCUCCACCGGUGCUCCCCGACCCGCUUGCCGCCAUCCAGAGCUGCCGGACCGCCGCCGCCGCGGUCCAGACCACCGCUAUCCGCCCCCUCUCCGUGGAGCCACCACUGCAGGCCACCAUCUCGAGCUCCAAGACCUUCUAGAGGUAGUCCUCGGUCCCCUCUCGCUUUUCCCCAGUGGGGCCCCCACCGCCGGAGCCUCUCCUCGCCGGGAAAAGCCACGCCCUUCCUCCUCUGUUCCUCACCCGACCAAGGACCCGCGCUGAGAAGAAACAGAAAUCCAGGGGCCUAGAUGCAAAAGUACGAUAAAUGAACCACGUGAGGGAUGUGACGUUGAAGCCGAGCCAGAAGACGGUGAAUUGUGGACACAUCUAGAAGAUGGAUGGAUCCCGAUGUGCAUGACCGAAGGCAGAUGCUCGCCAAGCGAGUAUCAUCUAACUAACACUGACUCAGUGUUAAUCCCAGGCAAGCCCCGGUGCAUGUCCUAGUAUUUUAAAAUUAUGACAUCCAUAUAUGUUGCUAGUACUUAUGCAUUACGUUUUAGGAGUUGAUUUGAAACCUAGUUGCAUGAUCCGUAGUUCCUUGAGUUGUACUAGUAUGUAUAGGGCGAUAGAAACGCUAUGCUUAAUAAGUAUCGAUAGAUGUCGAGUGACUGCUUGUCACUCGCGAGAUAUAGGAUGUUUAGAAGACGAGUAAUUUCCAGUUACUCGCGAGAUAUAAGUUAUAUGUAUAGUUAUGUUACAGUA